rnacentral:sRNA from 1 species
UAUAUCCGGUAGGUAAGGUUACCACAGGGAUACGGAUUGCUGCCGCUAUACAAUGGAGACACUGUAAUGAUGGUCAGCAAGGUAUGUCGAAACCAAGGCAUAACUUAACGCAAUUUCAUCGCCCUGUGAUGCUAAAGCUUGAAUGGU